CAAAUCUAAACCCGCCCUUUAUUUGCUUCAUUAAUUCGUCAUCUACCUCUCAUUCACUCUCGGAUGACAAAUCUCCUCUCUCUCCCUCUCUCGCUCUCUCUCUCUCUCUCUCAUCAAAUUUCAAGUUUCAAGCGAUCGAUCAAUGGCGUUUCAGCGUUCCUCGUUCUCAUUCCGAACAUCGGACUUCUGGGUCUCUGUGAAGCUGCAGGGAUUCCACGCCCGCCGGACCCUAAGUCCCAAUUCGUCGGCGAGCUUUCUCUCCGUCAGGACCAGAUUCAUCAAAAGCGCUUCCAUACCCAUGUUCUGGAUGAAUUCCCACUCGGUCCCGACCGGUACGCCACGCUUCGUUUUUCUCCCCGCCAACUCGUACACUCAGAAUUGCACGCCCACUUACGCUCUCUCUCCUCUUCCCUCAGCCUCGAUCCUUCCAUCUACGAGCGUUAGCACCCUAUAUCAAAUCUAUGGCCUUGAAACUUGCAAAUCGUAAUGGCUCGCUGGGAUUCAUCAUGGCGGCUCAACUUGAAAUCCUGUCUAUUGAUUAUGUCGACGACCUGUUCGAUGAUUUGUCUGACUCAAUGGGUUUACUUGCAAUUGGUAGUAGCAAUGGAGGUUUGACCUCAUCAUCGUUCUCAUUGGAUUUUGUGGUUGAGAAAUUGGGGGCGGAGAGAAUUUUUGAAAGGGGUGAUGGCGACUUGGGUACUUAGUAUAUGUUUGGAGGAACUGUCGGACGGGAAAGUGAGUGAGCUCAUUCGGAUGCCGUGCUCUCACGUCUAUCACCCAUCUUGCAUCCUUCGCUGGUUCAACAUGGAGAAGAAGACGUGCCCCAACUGCCGAUGUCAAUUCCAUGCCCAAGAUCUUCCAGUAGAAAGAAAGCAUGAUACCAUGGCUGGUUCUGGUUUUGAAAAAGCGGAGGACUGAAAGAAGACUUAUUAAAGGUAAGGAAAUUGUUACCUGAUUUGCGGUCAAAGCAGCUUCUUGUAAUUAUUACUUUUUGUUUCCUUUGUAGUUUUCUCCUGGAAAUUUGAUCUCAUAAAGAAUACUUUAGUAAAGUUUCAUUUCUUCCUGAAGCAUAGAGAAGAACAUCCUUCAGAUGUUGGGUUUCGACUUACGUCAUGGAUCUUAGGUCUUUGUGUUCUAUCUGUUUCGUCAUUAUCAUGACAGCAAAGAUGUUCUUCCUUGUACAAGAUCCCUCAUUGAUACUCAAGCUUCUUCUGGUGAGGAAACUUCUACAGUCUGCUGCUUUGGUUAGAUGUCACUUCUUAAAUGCCUUCAACCACACAUGAAUGUUGAACAUAUUUUGUAUUCGGAAGAUAUCAACGCCAUAUGGUUCCCCAUCGAAUAUGGUGUUUUCCAUGUUUUUUCGUAUGUUUGUGGUGCUUUGAUACUAUUACCAAUUCACAUGUUCUCUUUGACAGAUUCUCAAAAAA